AACGGGUGAGUAAUACAUCGGAACAUGUCCUGUAGUGGGGGAUAGCCCGGCGAAAGCCGGAUUAGUACCGCAUACGAUCUACGGAUGAAAGCGGGGGACCUUCGGGCCUCGCGCUAUAGGGUUGGCCGAUGGCUGAUUAGCUAGUUGGUGGGGUAAAGGCCUACCAAGGCGACGAUCAGUAGCUGGUCUGAGAGGACGACCAGCCACACUGGGACUGAGACACGGCCCAGACUCCUACGGGAGGCAGCAGUGGGGAAUUUUGGACAAUGGGCGAAAGCCUAAUCCAGCAAUGCCGCGUGUGUGAAGAAGGCCUUCGGGUUGUAAAGCACUUUUGUCCGGAAAGAAAUCCUUGGUUCUAAUAUAGCCGGGGGAUGACGGUACCGGAAGAAUAAGCACCGGCUAACUACGUGCCAGCAGCCGCGGUAAUACGUAGGGUGCGAGCGUUAAUCGGAAUUACUGGGCGUAAAGCGUGCGCAGGCGGUUUGCUAAGACCGAUGUGAAAUCCCCGGGCUCAACCUGGGAACUGCAUUGGUGACUGGCAGGCUAGAGUAUGGCAGAGGGGGGUAGAAUUCCACGUGUAGCAGUGAAAUGCGUAGAGAUGUGGAGGAA
rnacentral:rRNA from 1 species